GUCUGAAUCUUUGAAUGGCAUUUUUUGUUGGCCUUUAGUGCUGGCUGUUGUGGCCUGCCAAGACAGCAGUUAGAUCUCAGCUUUUUUGUUGGUGCUGUGGACAGCCUAAGGGGGCCUAUAUUUGACCCUAGAUUGAUUGGCUGCUUAAUGAUGAGGACCAGCAUGGUCAUGCUGUAUACCCUCAGUGGUAUACAGCAUAGUCCCGCUAUAAGGAUUGGGCUAGGCCAAGUGGUCAGUGGGUGGCUGUAGCUUGGACGGCUCAUCACUGCACUAUUUAUUUUUGAGUUGUGAAUUGAUAUUUUUUUUCUUUUCCCUUCACCUUUGUGACUGCGUGUUUGGUGUGACCUUUUAUGAGGUGCUCUUAAUCUUCCCCUACAGGUAGCCACAAUCACCUUGCCCUUAGUUAAUGCUAGUUAGUGUAGUUUUUAUUUUAUUAAAGGAAUAAACUUGAUCUCUCUCUCUCUCUCUCUCUCUCUCUCUCUCUCUCUCUCUCUCUCUCUCUCUCUCUCUCUCUCGUGUACGUCUUCACGGUAAUGCUCGAUGGUUUCAAAGAUAAAUGCCAUAGUGACUUUUUGUACACAGUCAGAAACAAUGGAGACUGCUACACCUGUAUCAAUUUCCAUGCAUACCGUUUGUCCUUCUAUUAAUGGUGACAUCCAGUAUCCUUCUGACCCACCAGCAACCGUCAGUAUGUUCAGCCCUAUCUCCUCUUCAGAACUGUCACACUCAACACCUUUGAUUCUGUUGCACCUUGUUCACACUCUUUCUGCUGGAAAGUGAAAUUAGACCUUUUGUUGUGUUUUUUGUUUGUCCUCUUUUUGGCUUUACAUGCAUGUUCAAUGUGACCCUUGUUUCCACAUUUUCUGCAUUCCACAUCCUUGCUCCAACACUCUGCAGCUGUAUAGGAGAUACAGCUGCAGAGUGUAGGAGCAAGGAUCUGAACAAUACACACUGUGCAAUAUAUUACAACAAUUACUGUAAUGACACUUUCACUGCACUUUACACUACAAUAUUGAUG